GACGAACGCUGGCGGCGUGCUUAACACAUGCAAGUCGAACGGAAAGGCCCUGCUUUUGUGGGGUGCUCGAGUGGCGAACGGGUGAGUAACACGUGAGUAACCUGCCCUUGACUUUGGGAUAACUUCAGGAAACUGGGGCUAAUACCGGAUAGGAGCUCCUGCUGCAUGGUGGGGGUUGGAAAGUUUCGGCGGUUGGGGAUGGACUCGCGGCUUAUCAGCUUGUUGGUGGGGUAGUGGCUUACCAAGGCUUUGACGGGUAGCCGGCCUGAGAGGGUGACCGGCCACAUUGGGACUGAGAUACGGCCCAGACUCCUACGGGAGGCAGCAGUGGGGAAUAUUGCACAAUGGGCGGAAGCCUGAUGCAGCAACGCCGCGUGCGGGAUGACGGCCUUCGGGUUGUAAACCGCUUUCGCCUGUGACGAAGCGUGAGUGACGGUAAUGGGUAAAGAAGCACCGGCUAACUACGUGCCAGCAGCCGCGGUGAUACGUAGGGUGCGAGCGUUGUCCGGAUUUAUUGGGCGUAAAGGGCUCGUAGGUGGUUGAUCGCGUCGGAAGUGUAAUCUUGGGGCUUAACCCUGAGCGUGCUUUCGAUACGGGUUGACUUGAGGAAGGUAGGGGAGAAUGGAAUUCCUGGUGGAGCGGUGGAAUGCGCAGAUAUCAGGAGGAACACCAGUGGCGAAGGCGGUUCUCUGGGCCUUUCCUGACGCUGAGGAGCGAAAGCGUGGGGAGCGAACAGGCUUAGAUACCCUGGUAGUCCACGCUGUAAACGGUGGGUACUAGGUGUGGGGUCCAUUCCACGGGUUCCGUGCCGUAGCUAACGCUUUAAGUACCCCGCCUGGGGAGUACGGCCGCAAGGCUAAAACUCAAAGGAAUUGACGGGGCCCCGCACAAGCGGCGGAGCAUGCGGAUUAAUUCGAUGCAACGCGUAGAACCUUACCUGGGUUUGACAUGGAUCGGGAGUGCUCAGAGAUGGGUGUGCCUCUUUUGGGGUCGGUUCACAGGUGGUGCAUGGCUGUCGUCAGCUCGUGUCGUGAGAUGUUGGGUUAAGUCCCGCAACGAGCGCAACCCUUGUUCACUGUUGCCAGCACGUUAUGGUGGGGACUCAGUGGAGACCGCCGGGGUCAACUCGGAGGAAGGUGGGGAUGACGUCAAGUCAUCAUGCCCCUUAUGUCCAGGGCUUCACGCAUGCUACAAUGGCUGGUACAGAGAGUGGCGAGCCUGUGAGGGUGAGCGAAUCUCGGAAAGUCGGUCUCAGUUCGGAUUGGGGUCUGCAACUCGACCUCAUGAAGUCGGAGUCGCUAGUAAUCGCAGAUCAGCAACGCUGCGGUGAAUAAGUUCCCGGGGCU
rnacentral:rRNA from 1 species